rnacentral:rRNA from 1 species
UACGUAGGGUGCGAGCGUUAAUCGGAAUUAUUGGGCGUAAAGAGCUCGUAGGCGGUUUGUCGCGUCUGCUGUGAAAACUCGGGGCUUAACUCCGGGCCUGCAGUGGGUACGGGCAGACUAGAGUGCGGUAGGGGAGACUGGAAUUCCUGGUGUAGCGGUGAAAUGCGCAGAUAUCAGGAGGAACACCGGUGGCGAAGGCGGGUCUCUGGGCCGUAACUGACGCUGAGGAGCGAAAGCGUGGGGAGCGAACAGG